GACGCCGCGUGAGUGAUGAAGGCCUUCGGGUUGUAAAGCUCUGUGGGGAGGGACGAAAGACUGAGGUCUAAUAGGCUUCAGGUUGACGGUACCUCCUUAGCAAGCACCGGCUAACUCUGUGCCAGCACCUGCGGUGACUGAGCGGGCUGGCAAGGCGCAUA
rnacentral:rRNA from 1 species